CCCUUUGGGGUGUGACUGCGUACCUUUUGUAUAAUGGGUCAGCGACUUAUAUUCUGUAGCAAGGUUAACCGAAUAGGGGAGCCGGAGGGAAACCGAGUCUUAAUUGGGCGUUAAGUUGCAGGGUAUAGACCCGAAACCCGGUGAUCUAGCCAUGGGCAGGUUGAAGGUUGGGUAACACUAACUGGAGGACCGAACCGACUAAUGUUGAAAAAUUAGCGGAUGACCUGUGGCUGGGGGUGAAAGGCCAAUCAAACCGGGAGAUAGCUGGUUCUCCCCGAAAGCUAUUUAGGUAGCGCCUCGUGAAUUCAUCUCCGGGGGUAGAGCACUGUUUCGGCUAGGGGGCCAUCCCGGCUUACCAACCCGAUGCAAACUGCGAAUACCGGAGAAUGUUAUCACGGGAGACACACGGCGGGUGCUAACGUCCGUCGUGAAGAGGGAAACAACCCAGACCGCCAGCUAAGGUCCCAAAGUCAUGGUUAAGUGGGAAACGAUGUGGGAAGGCCCAGACAGCCAGGAUGUUGGCUUAGAAGCAGCCAUCAUUUAAAGAAAGCGUAAUAGCUCACUGGUCGAGUCGGCCUGCGCGGAAGAUGUAACGGGGCUAAACCAUGCACCGAAGCUGCGGCAGCGACACUCAGGUGUUGUUGGGUAGGGGAGCGUUCUGUAAGCCUGCGAAGGUGGCCUGUGAGGGUUGCUGGAGGUAUCAGAAGUGCGAAUGCUGACAUAAGUAACGAUAAAGCGGGUGAAAAGCCCGCUCGCCGGAAGACCAAGGGUUCCUGUCCAACGUUAAUCGGGGCAGGGUGAGUCGACCCCUAAGGCGAGGCCGAAAGGCGUAGUCGAUGGGAAACGGGUUAAUAUUCCCGUACUUGGUGUUACUGCGAAGGGGGGACGGAGAAGGCUAUGUUGGCCGGGCGACGGUUGUCCCGGUUUAAGCGUGUAGGCUGGUUUUCCAGGCAAAUCCGGAAAAUCAAGGCUGAGGCGUGACGACGAGGCACUACGGUGCUGAAGCAACAAAUGCCCUGCUUCCAGGAAAAGCCUCUAAGCAUCAGGUAACAUCAAAUCGUACCCCAAACCGACACAGGUGGUCAGGUAGAGAAUACCAAGGCGCUUGAGAGAACUCGGGUGAAGGAACUAGGCAAAAUGGUGCCGUAACUUCGGGAGAAGGCACGCUGACACGUAGGUGAAGUGAUUUACUCAUGGAGCUGAAGUCAGUCGAAGAUACCAGCUGGCUGCAACUGUUUAUUAAAAACACAGCACUGUGCAAACACGAAAGUGGACGUAUACGGUGUGACGCCUGCCCGGUGCCGGAAGGUUAAUUGAUGGGGUCAGCGCAAGCGAAGCUCCUGAUCGAAGCCCCGGUAAACGGCGGCCGUAACUAUAACGGUCCUAAGGUAGCGAAAUUCCUUGUCGGGUAAGUUCCGACCUGCACGAAUGGCGUAAUGAUGGCCAGGCUGUCUCCACCCGAGACUCAGUGAAAUUGAACUCGCUGUGAAGAUGCAGUGUACCCGCGGCAAGACGGAAAGACCCCGUGAACCUUUACUAUAGCUUGACACUGAACAUUGAGCCUUGAUGUGUAGGAUAGGUGGGAGGCUUUGAAGUGUGGACGCCAGUCUGCAUGGAGCCGGCCUUGAAAUACCACCCUUUAAUGUUU
rnacentral:rRNA from 1 species